CUUUACUGUAACUUGAAAUUGAAAUUGGACUUUAUUUGCGCAGUAUAGGUGGGAGGCGUUGAGAAUAUUCUUGCGGGAAUAUUGGAGCCAUCAGUGAGAUACCACUCUUGUAAUGUUAGAUUUCUAACUUUGGAUCAUUAUCUGGUCAAAGGACAGUUUCAGGCGGGCAGUUUGACUGGGGCGGUCGCCUCCCAAACGGUAACGGAGGCGUACAAAGGUUUCCUCUGAACGGGUAGAAAUCGUAUCUAGAGUGCAAAGGCAUAAGGAAGCUUGACUGUGAGACCUACAAGUCGAGCAGGGACGAAAGUCGGUCUUAGUGAUCUGACGGUGCUGAGUGGAAAGGCCGUCACUCAACGGAUAAAAGUUA
rnacentral:rRNA from 1 species